AUGGACGCUGGCGGCGUGCCUAAUACAUGCAAGUCGAGCGAACAGACGAGGAGCUUGCUCCUCUGACGUUAGCGGCGGACGGGUGAGUAACACGUGGAUAACCUACCUAUAAGACUGGGAUAACUUCGGGAAACCGGAGCUAAUACCGGAUAAUAUAUUGAACCGCAUGGUUCAAUAGUGAAAGACGGUUUUGCUGUCACUUAUAGAUGGAUCCGCGCCGCAUUAGCUAGUUGGUAAGGUAACGGCUUACCAAGGCAACGAUGCGUAGCCGACCUGAGAGGGUGAUCGGCCACACUGGAACUGAGACACGGUCCAGACUCCUACGGGAGGCAGCAGUAGGGAAUCUUCCGCAAUGGGCGAAAGCCUGACGGAGCAACGCCGCGUGAGUGAUGAAGGUCUUCGGAUCGUAAAACUCUGUUAUUAGGGAAGAACAAAUGUGUAAGUAACUAUGCACGUCUUGACGGUACCUAAUCAGAAAGCCACGGCUAACUACGUG
rnacentral:rRNA from 1 species